rnacentral:rRNA from 1 species
CGAAAGCCUGACGGAGCAAUACCGCGUGAGGGAGGAAGGCUCUUGGGUUGUAAACCUCUUUUCUCAGGGAAUAAGAUCUGAAGGUACCUGAGGAAUAAGCAUCGGCUAACUCCGUGCCAGCAGCCGCGGUAAUACGGAGGAUGCAAGCGUUAUCCGGAAUGAUUGGGCGUAAAGCGUCCGCAGGUGGCUAUGUAAGUCUGCUGUUAAAGAGCAAAGCUUAACUUUGUAAAAGCAGUGGAAACUACAUAGCUAGAGUGCGUUCGGGGUAGAGGGAAUUCCUGGUGUAGCGGUGAAAUGCGUAGAGAUCAGGAAGAACACCGGUGGCGAAGGCGCUCUACUAGGCCGCAACUGACACUGAGGGACGAAAGCUAGGGGAGCG